UAACACGUGGGGAACCUGCCCCAUAGUCUGGGAUACCACUUGGAAACAGGUGCUAAUACCGGAUAAGAAAGCAGAUCGCACGAUCAGCUUUUAAAAGGCGGCGUAAGCUGUCGCUAUGGGAUGGCCCCGCGGUGCAUUAGCUAGUUGGUAAGGUAAAGGCUUACCAAGGCGAUGAUGCAUAGCCGAGUUGAGAGACUGAUCGGCCACAUUGGGACUGAGACACGGCCCAAACUCCUACGGGAGGCAGCAGAA
rnacentral:rRNA from 1 species